GGGUAGAGUUUGGGUUAGGGUUGAGUAAGGAGUGGGGUUAGGGUUGGGUUAGGGUACCCCUAGCCCUACCUUAACCCUACCCUAACCCU